UACGUAGGGUGCGAGCGUUGUCCGGAAUUAUUGGGCGUAAAGAGCUCGUAGGCGGCCUGUUGCGUCCGCUGUGAAAGCCCGGGGCUUAACCCCGGGUCGGCAGUGGAUACGGGCAGGCUAGAGGUAGGUAGGGGAGAAUGGAAUUCCCGGUGUAGCGGUGAAAUGCGCAGAUAUCGGGAGGAACACCGGUGGCGAAGGCGGUUCUCUGGGCCUUACCUGACGCUGAGGAGCGAAAGCGUGGGGGAGCGAACAGG
rnacentral:rRNA from 1 species